AUGCUACACACCCUGCUAGGAAGUGCUGGGCUCUUGCUGGAUCAGGCCAGGAAUCCAUCAUGUGUGACGAUGGCAAAUUAUAAUGACAGAGAUCAAGCAGCUCCUCCUCUCCCUGCUGUAACAUUUCCCAGCCUACACAGUGCCUGCAUGUCGCCAUACAGAUCUCAGGAGCUGCCACACGUGCACACCCAAAUCCCUGUUCAUCCACACAGCGUCCUAGAGGGCAAUCCACUGGAAUGGCUGUCUCCCAUGGAGGACUGUGCUGCAGCUCCUUGGGGACAUGUGAGCACACAAACACUAUGGGCUGACUUUCUGUGUGCUUGUAGGCUGCAACCAAGUCUCCACGAAUCUUACUCCAUGAAACAUCAUCAGCAACACAGAAGCUUUGAAGACCAAUUUGAAAAAUAUCUCCUAAUUCAUUGAUUUUUAACAGUAUCUAUCUGUGUUUUGAUAAUGCCUAUGGUGAUUUUAUAUCACUACAGUGCUAUAAAAUGCAUACACUGGAGUUUUAACCACACUGGCAUGUUGUGUUACUGCUCCUCAAAUACAUAUUUUGCUUAUUUAUAUACUUCCCUUUUUACAAGGACAAUAUCCUUCUGUAGCAGAGUUUCCAAGAAAGAGAUAAGCCCUGGCUUAUUUAAUUGGCACAGGCACAAAGUUUGUCUAUUUUAUGUGGCUAAUAAAAAACUGAAUAAGCAUAUUCCUAGAACUUUAGUUGGCACUGUUCAGGAUCCUAAGGUUAUACACAGUUUAACUGCAGCUUUUUACACAAGAGCUCGACAAAUGACAGGAAAAAAGACCUUUGUCCCCACAGUUAACUAACCAGAUAAUAUACAUUGUUAGUCAACAAGGGAACAUGUAUUUCACAAACAGAUUACUUAGAAACUUGACUGACAAGUCCUUCCUGGGACAGCCACUCUAACUGCUGGAUUUAAUAACUGCUUUGUCAUCUUAGCAGUGAUGGAAAUGGGUUCCCUCCAUUGGCUCUGCAGCUACUGUAGAACAUCAUUUAAUCCACCCAUGCCAAUCUGAACCCUUGUUUCCCCAAACACGAAGGCAGAAACAUCUGGCUAGGUAUAAAGCAGGUUAACACGGAUAAAACUUGCAAGAAGCCAUGUUCACAGUCACUACUCUGCUAUGCAAAUAGCCAUCGAUAAUGAACUGUAUGGAAUUAGCUCCUAAGAUCUGGGUGAAGGUGUUUUGGAAACUCAUGCCCCAAGUGAGCCUCCUCCAUGUUUAAUCACCUACAUAAAUGACCCGUUUUCCAAAAGCAGCCACCCCUUAUGUUUGCUUCUGAGAGAACUGCCAACUGCCCAGGACUGAUUAAAUCAAAACACCUCUGCUGUGCCUGUGAAUUUUAAUUUGAAGACACAGCCUUGAACAUCACAGUUCUAGCAUAUUGGUAUAACCAUUGGUAUUGGCAGGACAGGCCACUGGAUUCUACUCUUCCUGCUGGCAUUACUCAGUUUGUGUCAUCAAAGAACUCACUGAGCUCAUGCUCUUUAAUGUAAGAAAAAGGAAAAUCCUUGUUUUAUAGUGAGCAAAACUAACGGUGGGGGCAGGAGUCACUUCAUUAACCACUGACCUGAUCUCCAAGCAAUUCACACCAGGCUUCCUUUAUAAUCCAGGACAGAAAUGCGCACUCUAAAGAUGGAAUUCAUCUAAUCAAGUACAUAGCACUGUAAGAGGAGAUAAACCAUGUUGCAGACUCCACUGACAAAGCUGAUUAGAUCUCUGCUGACUCUAAAGGGAGACUGGUGAUCACAAGAUGUUUGUGUAUCAGCUACCAAUUCCCAAACAUGAAUUCCUCCCUUAUAGUCCAGUUGAGGCUGUGGUUUCAUUACCAGCAUCAGUGGAUGCCAGUAUAUGGUCACACACUUUUCCUGCACCAAUCACAUGGUCCUGUGUGUCAGCUCUAGCAAUCCUGCUGCCCUAGGUAAAUAGGAUUAACUUGCUGAACUGGCUGAAAAGCAAUGAAGAUGAAAAAUAAUUUGGUUUUUGGUUGCGCUGGCAGGCAAAGCUGAUGCCCCUCAUGGCAUCACAUGCCCUAAUUGCUAGGUCUGAGGCCUGGUUGGGAGCAAGAAUAUAAUUUCUGAAAGGCACUUGCAGUGGCCCCUUUUGGCACCAGCUUUUAGUUGGACCAGCUUAACUUGAGAACAAAAUGGCCUCUGUAGAAGGCAGCUCAGAAAAUUAAUAGAUGCAGUCACAGAACAUAAACUUAACAUGUCUAUGUUUACUGCCUUGGGAUAUGAUUUGACAAACAUCAAAUAUAAUUGAUCCUUUAAAAGAGACCUUCAUGUCUCCAUCCUUAUGUGAAGGGCAUAUGUGGUGUCUGGGAAAAGCAGCAGUGUCCAGCAGGUCUCAGAUUGGAUCUGAGAUUGCGGAUUGCAAACUCUGGGAUUGCAGCACAUUCCAAGUCAAAGCAUCAGUAUUUAUUGUGUAAUAAAGGCAAAUUCAUCCACCUCAAGCUGACACAGUAAAUAUCCAACACAUAAAUGGUAAAAUGAUGAGUAU
rnacentral:lncRNA from 1 species